GAUGAACGCUAGCUACAGGCUUAACACAUGCAAGUCGAGGGGAAACGACAUCGAAAGCUUGCUUUUGAUGGGCGUCGACCGGCGCACGGGUGAGUAACGCGUAUCCAACCUGCCCAUCACUUGGGAAUAACCUUGCGAAAGUAAGACUAAUACCCAAUGAUAUCCCACGAAGGCAUCGGAAUGGGAUUAAAGAUUUAUCGGUGAUGGAUGGGGAUGCGUCUGAUUAGCUUGUUGGCGGGGUAACGGCCCACCAAGGCAACGAUCAGUAGGGGUUCUGAGAGGAAGGUCCCCCACAUUGGAACUGAGACACGGUCCAAACUCCUACGGGAGGCAGCAGUGAGGAAGAGUGGUCAAUGGGCGAGAGCCUGAACCAGCCAAGUAGCGUGCAGGAAGACGGCCCUAUGGGUUGUAAACUGCUUUUAUAAGGGAAUAAAGUGGGUCACGUGUGACUUUUUGCAUGUACCUUAUGAAUAAGGACCGGCUAAUUCCGUG
rnacentral:rRNA from 1 species